rnacentral:lncRNA from 10 species
UACAGAAAAAGACAUAGUAUACCCUGGAAUUGCUGUAUUUUUCCAGAAUGCCUUCAUCUUUUUUGGAGGGCUGGUUUUUAAGUUUGGCCGCACUGAAGACUUAUGGCAGUGAACACAUCUGAUUUCCCACAGCACAACAGCCCUGCAUGGGUUUGUUUGUUUUUUUACUGCUCACUCCCAACCUUUUGUAAUGCCAUUUUCUAAACUUAUUUCUGAGUGUAGUCUCAGCUUAAAGUUGUGUAAUACUAAAAUCACGAGAACACCUAAACAACAACCAAAAAUCUAUUGUGGUAUGCACUUGAUUAACUUAUAAAAUGUUAGAGGAAACUUUCACAUGAAUAAUUUUUGUCAAAUUUUAUCAUGGUAUAAUUUGUAAAAAUAAAAAGAAAUUACAAAAGAAAUUAUGGAUUUGUCAAUGUAAGUAUUUGUCAUAUCUGAGGUCCAAAACCACAAUGAAAGUGCUCUGAAGAUUUAAUGUGUUUAUUCAAAUGUGGUCUCUUCUGUGUCAAAUGUUAAAUGAAAUAUAAACAUUUUUUAGUUUUUAAAAUAUUCCGUGGUCAAAAUUCUUCCUCACUAUAAUUGGUAUUUACUUUUACCAAAAAUUCUGUGAACAUGUAAUGUAACUGGCUUUUGAGGGUCUCCCAAGGGGUGAGUGGACGUGUUGGAAGAGAGAAGCACCAUGGUCCAGCCACCAGGCUCCCUGUGUCCCUUCCAUGGGAAGGUCUUCCGCUGUGCCUCUCAUUCCAAGGGCAGGAAGAUGUGACUCAGCCAUGACACGUGGUUCUGGUGGGAUGCACAGUCACUCCACAUCCACCAUUGAAGGAAAGGAAAAAAGGGCAGAGACUUGACACUCCAGUCUUAGACAGGGGACAAUUUCUUUGUAGUUGUUCUGAUAAUAAACUGGGUUCCAUGUUGCAUUUCAUCUGUGUACUGAACCACUAGCCUAAUAGACCAGCACGGUCAACUAGAAUGACAAACAUUAGCUACUGGGAACUCUUGUUGUCUCUUCCUCUUCAGAACUCUUGUCCCCCCAGGCUCCCCACCUCUGCAAGAUGGGAUACACUCUUCAGGACCACAGUUUGAAAUGUCUUUCAUAAAAUGUGCUACAAUUAGCCUUCGGAAUAUUUGCUGGGUGAUUUAAAUGUGUGGGUCUCAUUUCCAUGCUAGCCAUGGUCAUCUGACAGUCUCUACACUGUGAAUAUUGCCUGGUGAUCAAGACUCUCCUCAAAGAAAUGACUUGCUGUCAUCCCACAUGAACUCCUGAUGUUUUUUCUACAAAAGUCCAUAAAAUGUGAAAACUGGAGAAGAUCUUAGAGGUUGAAGCCCACCUUCUCUUUUCACAUAGGAGGGAACAGACCAUGGAAAUUUAAACGACUUCCUCACGGUCACAGAACUAGUUUUUUAAUCCUCAGGCAGUGCAUCCCCCCACCCUACAACUGAGCACAACCUCUUUCCCCACAGUGCAAUUCAGAAUAUGCUCAGGGAAUGCCAGCCACCUUGUAAAACUGCUGGGAGAAAAGCAUGAUUCCCACAAGGACUAAGUAUCAGUGAUUUGUAAUUUUCCUGUUUUGUAUUAUCUGCUUUGCUGAUGUAGACAAGAGUUAACUGAGUAGCAUGCUUUAUUAAGCAUGAGAAAGAAUCUUAAGAAUUGUCAAUAAAAUUAACCCAAAACUUUAAUAAUGUGUCUGUAACCAAGAAAAUAUUGAUAGCAUCAUCCUAAUGAAACUAAACAUUUAUUUUAAACUUAUUAAAUUGACUCUUAAAC